UUUGCAUAUUGAGCUUCCAGAACUAUUUUCAACUACCCGGAGCAGCUGGGCAUGAAGAGCACAUUCUUAUGUCUUUAGCUACAAAUUGCACACGACUUAAAAACUUGCCUUUGAAUUGAACUCGUAGACAUUGAUUUAGUCCGUUUCAGACCCACACUCACAGUCUCUAUUGGAAAACAUGUUUUGUCAAGUGAAGGGGAUAUUUCUCUAAGAAGCAUUCCGAAGCAGCCACAAAGAGCUACGUGAAACGAACACUGCAAAAAUCAGUUUGUUGAAAUAGAAGACACCCCUGCAUGGAGUUUUGUUAUUCACUCUUGUAGAAAAGACUUCCCCCUUUUCAAGAAUAACUACCAUCCUGAAACCAUCCUCCCUUCCCUUCCGUAACUGCCACCAUUUAGAAGCAUUUGUGCGGCCCUGAUCUCACCAGGCAGCACCUACAGUUGGUCUGUACGUGACAAAGUCUGGAUUAUGUCUUCAGUUUGCACGAGGCUUCCUC